GGCCGAUGGGAGGACUCCAUGCAAUGUCUGUGUUGAGGCCUGGUCCACAGAGGCCUCCGUAAACCGACACUCCUGGAUCCCAUGACAGUGAGGCGGAGGGCAGAUGGUGAGAAUGGGCUCCUGGUGCUCGUGCCAUAGAAGGGAGCUUCCUGCAUCAUCUGAGGCUGUUUUCGGGGAACCCAGUCCUCUCUUCUGUGCUGCAAGAGGCCAGCUGCACGCUGGGGCAGGUGGGUGGGGCGGGGGGGGGGGCUGGCUCGUCACUGAGGCACCACAAGGGAGGAAGACAGGCUUCCCUGACCUUGACUCAGACCUGCCAAGCAAGCCAGCCUCCUAAGAGGGAUCGCAUGGAUCGGUCGCUCGAUUGUGUCCACGUGGCCAGGCGCGCAGGACGAACAGCACGGGAGAUGCCGAAAGGAAGGAUGUGUGCUGGGACCCAGGCUGCCUUCACGAAGAAUCAGCUGCAGGUGCUCCAUGCCUUUUGCCUCUUGAUCCACACAUGGUGUGGCCACAUUCCACUGAGAUCCUACAGGGUCCUGGAGAUUCCCGGGGCUGAAGCAGACCCCUCUCAGCGUGGGUGCCCCAGAAGGACCUGAUGGAGACCUGCUGUCUGAUGGAGCGUGGGUAGGUCUCGGGCAAGGAGGGGUGUCGGGGGCCGCAGAGGGAGGAGCACAGCGCUGGGGCUGAUGGGAAGACAAAGGGGCACGCUGGCAUCCUCAGACCCAGGUUCAAGUCCCUGUUGUGUCAGGCAGCUUAACCUCUGCAAGGCUCAGUUUUCCCAGCUGUAAAAUGGCACCAUAACACCACCUAGCUCAGGGUUACCAAAAGAAGAGUCAGCAGAUGAGUGUUUAUGAAGACCCAUCCCACCUGCCCCCAACUCACUGUCAGCACAGGAACACCAGGUGUGCCGUGUUCAGUUACUCAGUCGUGUCUGACUCUUUGCGGCCCCUGGACUGCAGCCCACCAGGCUCCGCUAUCCAUGGGAUUUUCCAGGCAAGAAUACUGGGAGUGAGUUGCCAUGAAGCACCAGGAACAGUGGGUAAUUGGGCCCUGGGGUCACAUCCCUUAGGCUCAAACACCAGCUCUGCCUCUCACUAGCGAUGGCUCUUGGAAAAAUUGCCUACAUUUCCCAAGGCUGAGUCACGAGGUCUGUAUAUAAUAAGCAUGUCAUCAUUCCAGAACUGUUGUUAGGAUUAAACGAGAUAAUUCAUUAAAGUCCUUGGCACAUAAGAUAUACUUCACAAAUAUUAGCUAUUACU
ensembl:lncRNA